AGUGAACGCUGGCGGUAGGCCUAACACAUGCAAGUCGAACGGCAGCACAGUAAGAGCUUGCUCUUACGGGUGGCGAGUGGCGGACGGGUGAGGAAUACAUCGGAAUCUACUUUUUCGUGGGGGAUAACGUAGGGAAACUUACGCUAAUACCGCAUACGACCUACGGGUGAAAGCAGGGGAUCUUCGGACCUUGCGCGAUUGAAUGAGCCGAUGUCGGAUUAGCUAGUUGGCGGGGUAAUGGCCCACCAAGGCGACGAUCCGUAGCUGGUCUGAGAGGAUGAUCGGCCACAUUGGAACUGGGACACGGUCCAGACUACUACGGGAGGCAGCAGUGGGGAAUAUUAGGCAGUGGGCGCAAGCCUGAUCCAGCCAUACCGCGUGGGUGAAGAAGGCCUUCGGGUUGUAAAGCCCUUUUGUUGGGAAAGAAAAGCAGCAGGUUAAUACCCCGCUGUUCUGACGGUACCCAAAGAAUAAGCACCGGCUAACUUCGUG
rnacentral:rRNA from 1 species